AUUUGAUUUGGGUGACACUGUUUCCCUUUCCUCUUAGGGCUUUGGAACCCAAGGUCAGAGAGCGGGCACAGCAUUCUACCAACACGGCCACGGGGAACAGGCCAGGUCUCGAGGGCAGGCCCCCUCCUCAGCACCACAGCGGAAGGGAGGGUGCAACCACCGUGGGAAAGGAGGUCACACUUCUCCAUCCCCUCGACUGCCAUCCGAGGGGCAUCUUGAUUCUUCCAAAGUCAUAUGUAAAAGACAAGGUCAGUAAAAUUGGUCUCUAUGCCACCUGAAGCUAUUAUUAGCCAUCAUGCAGGAACGUGGCAUUUCUAAAAAUUUCAUAAAUCUGAAACCAUCUUUUAAAAAAGUCCCAGCAACCGAAGGCAUCUUACAGUACUUUGUUUCAAAUAUUUAAAAGAUAGUUUUUUUAAGUAAAAUGGCCCCCAAAGAGCCCAAUGAUUUUUUUUUCUUAAAAAGGGUUUCUCUUUAAUUAAAAAAAUGGAUAAAAAUGGAAGAUGUAAAAUGUGGGAAGAGGAACAAGAGAGUCGCUGACUAUGCAUUUGGAGUUGCAGGGGGUGGGGCGGUGGAUGGAGAGACGCGGCCAAGGAGAGAAGGGCCGGCUCCCGAGGCCUCUCCGCUCCCCCGGAUUCCGGCCGCACCCUGGGGACACGGGACUCAAAGUCGCGAGGAGGAGACACGAACGUGAAGCUUCUGUCCCUCCUGCGGCUGCGUGGUGUCCACGUGUGCAAACCGAGCGAGCCCCUCCCCGCCGCAUAAGGUGCGCGUCUGCGGACACCCCUGGUGCGCUCGGAGAGCACGCACAGUCCCUGGGGGCGCCCAGCCGUCACUUCUCCACCUUCUUGGCCUUCUUCAGGAUGUCGCAUUUCUUCCUGUUGGGGCGGCGGCACCGCUCGUCGAUGCUCGGGAUGCACUCGUAGUGCCACACCUCCUCCAUCUUCUCCACCGGGUACACGGCCUCCACGUAGUGGCGGAUGAGCCGCAGCCGCGUGGGGUCCAGCUGCUUCUUGUUGCAGGCGCCGGAGUGGUUGUACUGCAGCCGGAGGUUCUCGGCCGUGAAGAGUUCCGGGAAGAGCCUGACCAGGAGCCGCGCGGCAAAGUUGCCCACCGACAGGCUCUGCUGCACGAUCUCGCGCACCUCCUUGUCCGACAGCAGGUUCUCGUGCGUGAAGAGCUCGGGGAAGAGGUGCACCAGCAGGCGCGAGGCGAAGUUGCCGAUGGACAGGCUGCUCUCGUAGAUGCUGCG